rnacentral:rRNA from 1 species
GUGAGUAACACGUGGGUGAUCUGCCUCGCACUCUGGGAUAAGCCUGGGAAACUGGGUCUAAUACCGGAUACGACCAGGGGAUGCAUGUCCUUUGGUGGAAAGGUUUACUGGUGCGAGAUGGGCCCGCGGCCUAUCAGCUUGUUGGUGGGGUAACGGCCUACCAAGGCGACGACGGGUAGCCGACCUGAGAGGGUGACCGGCCACACUGGGACUGAGACACGGCCCAGACUCCUACGGGAGGCAGCAGUGGGGAAUAUUGCACAAUGGGCGAAAGCCUGAUGCAGCGACGCCGCGUGAGGGAUGACGGCCUUCGGGUUGUAAACCUCUUUUGACAGGGACGAAGCGCAAGUGACGGUACCUGUAGAAGAAGCACCGGCCAACUACGUGCCAGCAGCCGCGGUAAUACGUAGGGUGCGAGCGUUGUCCGGAAUUACUGGGCGUAAAGAGCUUGUAGGCGGUCUGUCACGUCUUCUGUGAAAACUUGGGGCUCAACCUUAAGCUUGCAGGGGAUACGGGCAGACUAGAGUACUUCAGGGGAGACUGGAAUUCCUGGUGUAGCGGUGAAAUGCGCAGAUAUCAGGAGGAACACCGGUGGCGAAGGCGGGUCUCUGGGAAGUAAC